rnacentral:rRNA from 1 species
UUCCGGUUGAUCCUGCCGGACCUGACUGCUAUCGGAUUGGUACUAAGCCAUGCGAGUCAUUGUAGCAAUACAAGGCGGACGGCUCAGUAACACGUAGUCAACCUAACUCGUGGACGUGGAUAACCUCGGGAAACUGAGAAUAAACCACGAUAGAUCAUAGUGCCUGGAAUGGCUUAUGGUCCAAACAGUUUACUGCCAUGGGAUGGGACUGCGGCCUAUCAGCUUGUUGGUGAGGUAAUGGCCCACCAAGGCGAUUACAGGUACGGGCUCUGAGAGGAGAAGCCCGGAGAUGGGUACUGAGACACGGACCCAGGCCCUAUGGGGCGCAGCAGGCGAGAAACCUUAGCAAUGUGCGAAAGCACGACUGGGUCAGUCCGAGUGAUUCCUGAUAAAGGAGUCUUUUGCUUGUCCUAAAAGCACAGGUGAAUAAGGGGUGGGCAAGUCUGGUGUCAGCCGCCGCGGUAAUACCAGCACCUCAAGUGGUCAGGACGUUUAUUGGGCCUAAAGCAUCCGUAGCCGGCUCUGCAAGUCUUCGGUUAAAUCCACCUGCUCAACAGAUGGGCUGCUGGAGAUACUACAGAGCUAGGGAGUGGGAGAGGCAGACGGUAUUCAGUGGGUAGGGGUAAAAUCCUCUGAUCCAUUGAGGACCACCAGUGGCGAAGGCGGUCUGCCAGAACACGUUCGACGGUGAGGGAUGAAAGCUGGGGGAGCAAACCGGAUUAGAUACCCGGGUAGUCCCAGCUGUAAACGAUGCUAGCUAGAUGAUUCAUUCGCAAGUCGCGAAUGAAGUGUCGCAGGAAACCGUUAAGCUAGCCGCCUGGGGAGUACGGUCGCAA